CACCACAGAGAGUUGAAGCUGCCAGCAUGAUCUAGUUAACCACCCCUCCAUUUUUAAACCUUUCAGGGAGAGAGACUAGAUCAUGUGACAGCUUCAUCUGUCCAUGGC
rnacentral:pre_miRNA from 1 species